rfam:Triticum aestivum genome assembly, contig: Triticum_aestivum_CS42_TGACv1_scaffold_288184_4AL
CUUAUACUCUUUUCGUCCGGAAAAAUUUGUCCCUCAAAUGGAUGUAUCUAGCACCAAGUUGGUGCUAGAUACAUCCAUUUGACAAACAAGCUUGGGACAAGUUUUUCCGGACGGAGGGAGUAGUUG